AUGUUUGCCUAUGCCAAGCUCGCCUGCACCCCCGCUCUGAAGUUCUAUCUUAAACAGCGUAGAGUUGCAUACAGACCUGGAGAGGGCUCUGUGGUAUUUAAUGGGGCCCAGAAUGGUGUGUCUCAGCUAAACCAAAGAGUUUCAAACCAGGGCAAUCAGCAGAGACAUUGAGACUGGUGUGAAAUGUAACGGUGCAGGCACUGCAACAUUAGGAGUGGCUGGUUCUGCUGCUGGUAUUGGAACAGUCUUUGGUAGCCUUAUCAUUGGUUAUGCCAGAAACCCUGCACUAAAGUAGCAGCUGUUCUCAUAUGCUGUCCUGGGAUUUGCCUUGUCCAGACUUACGGGUCUCUUUUGUUUGAUGGUUGCUUUCUUGAUUUUGUUUGCCAUGUGA
rnacentral:lncRNA from 1 species